AUUGAACGCUGGCGGCAGGCCUAACACAUGCAAGUCGAGCGGUAACAGAAGAAAGCUUGCUUUCUUGCUGACGAGCGGCGGACGGGUGAGUAAUGUAUGGGGAUCUGCCCGAUAGAGGGGGAUAACUACUGGAAACGGUGGCUAAUACCGCAUGACGUCUACGGACCAAAGCAGGGGCUCUUCGGACCUUGCGCUAUCGGAUGAACCCAUAUGGGAUUAGCUAGUAGGUGAGGUAAUGGCUCACCUAGACAACGAUCUCUAGCUGGUCUGAGAGGAUGAUCAGCCACACUGGGACUGAGACAUGGCCCAGACUCCUACGGGAGGCAGCAGUGGGGAAUAUUGCACAAUGGGCGCAAGCCUGAUGCAGCCAUGCCGCGUGUAUGAAGAAGGCCUUAGGGUUGUAAAGUACUUUCAGCGGGGAGGAAGGUGAUAAAGUUAAUACCUUUAUCAAUUGACGUUACCCGCAGAAGAAGCACCGGCUAACUCCGUGCCAGCAGCCGCGGUAAUACGGAGGGUGCAAGCGUUAAUCGGAAUUACUGGGCGUAAAGCGCACGCAGGCGGUCAAUUAAGUCAGAUGUGAAAGCCCCGAGCUUAACUUGGGAAUUGCAUCUGAAACUGGUUGGCUAGAGUCUUGUAGAGGGGGGUAGAAUUCCACGUGUAGCGGUGAAAUGCGUAGAGAUGUGGAGGAAUACCGGUGGCGAAGGCGGCCCCCUGGACGAAGACUGACGCUCAGGUGCGAAAGCGUGGGGAGCAAACAGG
rnacentral:rRNA from 1 species